CGUCCGUCCGUCCGUCCGUCCUAUGUGAUCCGCCCCGGCGCCAAGAUGAAAGACGAUUUUGCAGAGGAGGAGGAGGUGCAGUCCUUUGGCUACAAAAGGUUUGGUAUUCAGGAGGGGACUCAAUGUACCAAAUGUAAAAAUAACUGGGCACUGAAGUUUUCCAUCAUCUUAUUAUAUGUUUUAUGUGCCCUGUUAACAAUCACAGUAGCCAUUCUGGGAUACAAAG